CCUACGGGAGGCAGCAGUGGGGAAUCUUGCGCAAUGGGCGAAAGCCUGACGCAGCAACGCCGCGUGCGGGAUGAAGGCCUUCGGGCUGUAAACCGCUUUCAGCAGGAACGAAAAUGACGGUACCUGCAGAAGAAGGAGCGGCCAACUACGUGCCAGCAGCCGCGGUGACACGUAGGCUCCAAGCGUUGUCCGGAUUUAUUGGGCGUAAAGAGCUCGUAGGCGGUCUAAUAAGUCGGGUGUGAAAACUCUGGGCUCAACCCGGAGACGCCAUCCGAUACUGUUAUGACUUGAGUUCAGGAGGGGAGCGGGGAAUUCCUAGUGUAGCGGUGAAAUGCGCAGAUAUUAGGAGGAACACCGGUGGCGAAGGCGCCGCUCUGGACUGAAACUGACGCUGAGGAGCGAAAGCAUGGGUAGCAAACAGGAUUAGAUACCCUGGUAGUCCAUGCCGUAAACGGUGGGCACUAGGUGUGGGUUUCAACUACGAAAUCCGCGCCGUCGCUAACGCAUAAGUGCCCGCCUGGGGAGUACGGUCGCAAGCUAAAACUCAAAGGAAUUGACGGCUGAGACGUGCGAGCGACGACGAGGAGAG
rnacentral:rRNA from 1 species